CACUGGCGGAAGACGUGCGUGCUGAGAAUCGCAGCGAGCUUGAAUGAUCGGCUCGAACGAAGCUCAGGUAGGUCUUCCUCCGGGCCCGGUCACUGGUGGUGGAGCGGAGCUUGGAGAGAGGAGUCUUGAGGGGACCUGGAGGCAUCCGGGAGGCUGAUGGUGGAAACGGGGAGGAGGUGGGUUGAAGCACAACUGAAGUGGGUGGAUCUGAGGUUGCUUCGCCUUUUGAAGGAGCUAUAGCCAGUUGAUUGGAUCAAGGGGGAGCGGUGGUGCGUCCUGGUUGGCUGGGGUGAAGGCGUUGAAUUUACGCCUAGGGCUUCAUUAUACAAACAUAUUUGCUAAUAAGUGGACAAGUGAAUUUAAAUUUUUAGCUUCAAAUAUUUAGUUUGCUAGCUUUCAAACUAAAUAUUUGAAGCUAAAUAUUUAACCAGUAGAAAACAGCUGGGAAAGGUAGAAAGCUGGCAGGCAGUAGGACAAAGAACAAGGGGGAAACUAAAAUGGUAAUAUAUAAGGAAAUAAGCAAUAGAGAGAUGUUCAAAAUAAACAUGAAUGAAAAUAUCAGUCUAAACAUCAAAACUUCAUAAGUGACUGAAAAUUUGCAAUUUUCUCCAGUUAUUCAUAUUCCUAACAAUUCACAUUUCAUUCACUCUUGUUUUAUUUACAUUUUUAAAUUUUCUUUUCAUCUGCUCUUGGACAUGUUGAGGCCUGCUUUAGCCUGUCCAACAAACUUUCUUUUUGUUUGUUGUCAGAUUGUAGAAAGUUUGUCAGACAAACACAAAGUAAGACAUAUUUGUGGAGGCUAAGAAAAAUGUAAAGAAAAAUCAGAACGACAUUUAGCUCAUUUCAACUAGAGGAGCGAAUCAGAGGUAAGUGGAUGCAGCUCAGAGAGAGAAUGCAGGAGGAGAGAUGAAACAUCGACACACAGGGAUGUAAAAAAUGAACCACAAAUGAUAACUGGAGACUUUAUCGAGAGAAACAAGUAGUUGUUAGGUUUAUGGGGAAAUUAUUUUUCUCCAUUUAAUCAUCAAAAUAAAUUUUUAGGGAUCAUAUAUUUUAUUUUUAACAAUGUACAUUAGGUUCUUUAUGCAGAAAAAUACCAAAUGAGUCCACCUACAUGUUUCCUUGUGCUGAUUAUCUGGUAUGUGAUCCAUGGCAGUUUCAUGUUCAUAUGAGUCGAUUGAGGAAAACAAAGCAGUCAGGCUCUUCAUCACAGAGAGGUUAUAAAUAACCUCAUGAUGUCGUGGGUUGCAAGAAAAGAAUAACAGCAUGUUUUGGAUGAAAGAAUUUCACACAACGCCAACAUGCUCAUCAGACCCACAGUCAUGAUUUCCAACUGCUUUUUCCAGCCUUUUCUUAACUUUAUUUUUAAGCCCGGGUGAAAAUAAUAAGGGUACCGUGGCCAGACAGCAACAGAAGUCAGUGCUCAUGCAUCCCACGAGAAAGAACCCUCAUUAUUCCUGUCUAUGAGGCUUUAAAAAAAAAAAAAAAAAAAACAGGAACCAGACAAAAGACGCCACAGCCAUGCUUUUUUUUAAUAUCACAUUGUUAGCUGUAACCUAAACUCCUAUCCAGCCUCGGUCCCACCUUAUCUUUUCCUGCAUUUUCCCUCUUCUGAUUCCCUGCUGAGAUGUUAAUAAGCAGCUUCAGCAACAUGUUUAUCAUUGCGACAUUAAUGGAAUAACACUAAUUAUAGAUCAGUGUUGGAGCAGACACCAGGGAGCAGGGUGAGGAUGGUGAUUGGACGGCCAUAAAUCUCUGAUCACUAAUUAACAGGAGUCGACGCUGUACACCGGGAUGUUACAUCUGAUCAGAGCUCGUGUAAGGCAGCGGACACUUGCUCUUAAUUGUGAUGAAUCAUAAAAAGUUGUGAGUGUCCGAGUUCCAUUCAUCGGAGUCAUUCCCUUACUCAAAUUAAUUCCCGACUGUUAAUGCGGGAAAGUUUAACAAUCUUAUUUUACACUUCUUUGACUUUAAUUCCAAUGCAAGCAAAUUUUAGGAUGAAUUAGGAUGUGUUCACACCUGCCGCUUUUAGUCCACUUGAAAUGGACCACAGUUAGUUUCCUCUGUUGGUCCAGACUUUUUCCUUUUCCUUUAUCUUUUUCUUUUCCGAACUCUGGAGUGGACCAAACUACCAGACCAAGAUCUACUUUUUGAGGUGGUCUUUCCAAAACUAACUCUGGUGUGGUUUGCUUCAUGGUGUGACUAUAGACCAGCCUUGAUGUGAACAAACUACAGGAAAUGUACAACUUCAUGAGCUUUGUGAGCCACUGCUCCUGGGCGUUACGGUAAAAAUGACCUUUUGGUGGUUGAUGAAUGGAAACACAUCCAAUUUUGAAAGAAGUCAUGUUUUUCAAUAGCUGUUUCAUUCAGAUCCGAAUGAGGUGGAUUUCUAUGUUAAGUAGGUAUUUAGAAGCAUGACUAAAUGUCGACAUUUAGUCGUGCUUCGGAUUCUUUCUUCAUUCAGUGAAUGAAGACUGAAUAGCUUCGUUCACUUCCGUUGCUGCCAUUGCCAAACUACAACCAUAGGCAGACUACAAUUUAAAAACAAAUCAAUCAACAUCAUUGUUCACAGCUUCUUCCAUCCGCUGACUGAACCGGGUGAAAUUCUACCAAAGAAAUCCUUCUCAAUGGAUUUUCUUUUACAGGAUUUCUUCCUUAAUUAAUUCAUUGAUCAACGUUAAUGCUUGAAAAGUCCAACUUUGAUGUCAUUCUAAUAAAAACAGAGGCUUAUUAUAAAAAGUCAGCCUUGUUUUAGUGAUAAAUUACUAUUUAUAAAAGGUAGAGCUCAUCAAGCCGUGCAACUUUAUUCAUAAACCGUUUAAUAUUACCUCCCUAUUCCCUCAAAGUAAACAUAUUUUGCACAAGCCUUCAUCUUCAGCCAAACUUUAGCUUUGACAACAAAGCGAUGCUUGUUCUAAUUACUGUGCAGCCAAUUAGAUGCUGUUAAGAGACUAAAAAGCUUUCUAAUGAUGCAGGAAGCAGCGCAUUAUCUCCCUCGUAGCACCAUACAGUCAGCGGCUGCUUCCUGAUGACUGCAGGUGGUAUUUAAUAUGACACAUAUUCAAUGUGACAGGUGGAUCCCCUGAGAGUUUGAAGACGAGAGAAGUCUCAUUUGGAGAAGCAGCUGACCAUGGAGUCACACAUCCAGUUCCUCCCACUGUGAAAGAAGAAACGUGCUUCGGAUCCUUUCUUCACACUCUAUAGGAGCGCUUCAUCCAUGCAGCGCAUUUGAAGUGGGUUUUGAUGUCAGCUUCAUCUAUAAUGGAUCAGAUGGCAUUUUCCCCCCUGACGACAGCACCAGACUCUUACUCCUCUUCAGAGACAGUCACGUAUGGAACAGGCCCAGAGGAAGUCGUGAUCAAUGCACAGGGUUGGACAGAAAAAAAAAAAAAGGUACAUGCAACAUAUGGAAUCAGACGACGAGUCAAAAUAGUUUAUUAGAGAACAGAAUUCAUAGUCGAGGCACAACCUCACAUUUAGUAUAGGCACUGAACUACUGCACUGGAGUCACAGCCUCAACUCGGUUUGAAAACCAAAGCCUGCCAGCCACUUUGACGAGCUGGCAACAGCUACAUGUACAGCCGGUCUGAGCUGCCAAAGCAAUCGAGACACACAGAUCGUUCAGAGAGAAUGAGGUCAUCGCUCACAUCUCACCACGUGUCAGUAAAAGGCUAAUUACAUGAAAACAAUGUGGUGUUUCAUCUAACUAUAUCCAGCAAACCAGAACCUUGAUUUAAUAUGGUGAAUCAUGUUUGCUGAUGGGAACUGUGUGAAAUUACAUUUUAAAGCUGGAGUAACUUUUAU